rnacentral:lncRNA from 1 species
GUGGUUCACUGACAGUCGAUAGUAAUCAUAACCAAUCAUAUUUAGUCACCCUUCAGUGAUAACGGUUAAAGGAAUUUCAGUCUUUACUUUUUUUUAAUGGUUACAAAGUUGCAGUCAAUCACACGGUACAGAACAUUCAUUUCGAUCCAUUAGGUCUGCCAUCGAUCCUAAUACCUGCCUAUUUCUAAAUCAUUCAACUACCAAAAUCCUACCAUUGAAUCAGGAC